rnacentral:rRNA from 1 species
UACGUAGGUGACCAGCGUUGUCCGGAUUUACUGGGCGUAAAGAGCGCGCAGGCGGUCGUUCAAGUCGAGUGUGAAAGCCCCCGGCUCAACUGGGAGGGUCACUCGAUACUGAUCGACUUGAAGGCAGGAGAGGGAAGCGGAAUUCCCGGUGUAGUGGUGAAAUGCGUAGAUAUCGGGAGGAACACCAGUGGCGAAGGCGGCUUCCUGGCCUGUUCUUGACGCUGAGGCGCGAAAGCUAGGGGAGCAAACAGG